CCUACGGGUGGCUGCAGUGAGGAAUAUUGGUCAAUGGGCGGAAGCCUGAACCAGCCAAGUCGCGUGCAGGAUGACGGCCCUACGGGUUGUAAACUGCUUUUAUACGGGAAUAACGCGCCUUACGUGUAGGGAUUUGCAUGUACCGUAUGAAUAAGGACCGGCUAAUUCCUUGCCAGCAGCCGCGGUAAUACGGCGGGUGCGGGCGUUAUCCGGAUUUUUUGGGUUUAAAGGGUGCGUAGGCCGCAUGUCAAGCGUGCUGUGAAAUGUCCGGGCUCAACCCGGGCCUUGCAGCGCGAACUGGCGUGCUUGAGUCCGCGGAAAGCAGGCGGAAUGCGUCGUGUAGCGGUGAAAUGCUUAGAUAUGACGAAGAACCCCGAUUGCGAAGGCAGCUUGCUGCAGCGGAACUGACGCUGAUGCUCGAAAGCGCGGGUAUCGAACAGGAUUAGAUACCCGAGUAGUC
rnacentral:rRNA from 1 species